rnacentral:rRNA from 1 species
GCAGUCGAACGGUAACAUUUCUAGCUUGCUAGAAGAUGACGAGUGGCGGACGGGUGAGUAAUGCUUGGGAACUUGCCUUUGCGAGGGGGAUAACAGUUGGAAACGACUGCUAAUACCGCAUAAUGUCUACGGACCAAACGGGGCUUAGGCUCCGGCGCAAAGAGAGGCCCAAGUGAGAUUAGCUAGUUGGUAAGGUAAAGGCUUACCAAGGCGACGAUCUCUAGCUGUUCUGAGAGGAAGAUCAGCCACACUGGGACUGAGACACGGCCCAGACUCCUACGGGAGGCAGCAGUGGGGAAUAUUGCACAAUGGGGGAAACCCUGUUGCAGCCAUGCCGCGUGUGUGAAGAAGGCCUUCGGGUUGUAAAGCACUUUCAGUUGUGAGGAAAAGUUAGUAGUUAAUACCUGCUAGCCGUGACGUUAACAACAGAAGAAGCACCGGCUAACUCCGUGCCAGCAGCCGCGGUAAUACGGAGGGUGCGAGCGUUAAUCGGAAUUACUGGGCGUAAAGCGCACGCAGGCGGUUUGUUAAACUACAUGUGAAAGC